GACGAACGCUGGCGGCGUGCUUAACACAUGCAAGUCGAACGGUAAGGCCCUUCGGGGUACACGAGUGGCGAACGGGGGAGUAACACGUGGGUGAUCUGCCCUGCACUUCGGGUUAAGCCUGGGAAACUGGGUCUAAUAUCGGAUAGGACCACUUCAUGCAUGGGUGGGGGUGGAAAGCUUUUGCUGUGCGGGAUGGGCCCGCGGCCUAUGAGCUUGUUGGUGGGGUGAUGGCCUACCAAGGCGACGACGGGUAGGCGGCCUGAGAGGGUGACCGGGCACACUGGGACUGAGAUACGGCCCAGACUCCUACGGGAGGCAGGAGUGGGGAAUAUUGCACAAUGGGCGCAAGCCGGAUGCAGCGACGCCGCGUGAUGGAUGACGGCCUUCGGGUUGUAAACCUCUUUCAGCACCGACGAAGCGCAAGUGGCGGUAGGUGCAGAAGAAGGACCGGCCAACUACGUGCCAGCCGCCGCAGUAAAAC
rnacentral:rRNA from 1 species